ACUGCUCUUUAACAAUUUAUCAGACAAUCUGUGUGGGCACUCAAAGUGACAUGGAUUCUUAACGUCCUCGGACGAAAAAUGAAUACCAAGUCUCAAGAGUGAACACGUAAUUCAUUACGAAGUUUAAUUCUUUGAGCAUCAAACUUAAAUUGAAGAGUUUGAUCAUGGCUCAGAUUGAACGCUGGCGGCAGGCCUAACACAUGCAAGUCGAGCGGUAGCACAGAGAGCUUGCUCUCGGGUGACGAGCGGCGGACGGGUGAGUAAUGUCUGGGAAACUGCCUGAUGGAGGGGGAUAACUACUGGAAACGGUAGCUAAUACCGCAUAACGUCGCAAGACCAAAGUGGGGGACCUUCGGGCCUCAUGCCAUCAGAUGUGCCCAGAUGGGAUUAGCUAGUAGGUGGGGUAACGGCUCACCUAGGCGACGAUCCCUAGCUGGUCUGAGAGGAUGACCAGCCACACUGGAACUGAGACACGGUCCAGACUCCUACGGGAGGCAGCAGUGGGGAAUAUUGCACAAUGGGCGCAAGCCUGAUGCAGCCAUGCCGCGUGUGUGAAGAAGGCCUUCGGGUUGUAAAGCACUUUCAGCGGGGAGGAAGGCGAUAAGGUUAAUAACCUUGUCGAUUGACGUUACCCGCAGAAGAAGCACCGGCUAACUCCGUGCCAGCAGCCGCGGUAAUACGGAGGGUGCAAGCGUUAAUCGGAAUUACUGGGCGUAAAGCGCACGCAGGCGGUCUGUCAAGUCGGAUGUGAAAUCCCCGGGCUCAACCUGGGAACUGCAUUCGAAACUGGCAGGCUAGAGUCUUGUAGAGGGGGGUAGAAUUCCAGGUGUAGCGGUGAAAUGCGUAGAGAUCUGGAGGAAUACCGGUGGCGAAGGCGGCCCCCUGGACAAAGACUGACGCUCAGGUGCGAAAGCGUGGGGAGCAAACAGGAUUAGAUACCCUGGUAGUCCACGCCGUAAACGAUGUCGAUUUGGAGGUUGUGCCCUUGAGGCGUGGCUUCCGGAGCUAACGCGUUAAAUCGACCGCCUGGGGAGUACGGCCGCAAGGUUAAAACUCAAAUGAAUUGACGGGGGCCCGCACAAGCGGUGGAGCAUGUGGUUUAAUUCGAUGCAACGCGAAGAACCUUACCUAGUCUUGACAUCCACAGAACUUUCCAGAGAUGGAUUGGUGCCUUCGGGAACUGUGAGACAGGUGCUGCAUGGCUGUCGUCAGCUCGUGUUGUGAAAUGUUGGGUUAAGUCCCGCAACGAGCGCAACCCUUAUCCUUUGUUGCCAGCGGUCCGGCCGGGAACUCAAAGGAGACUGCCAGUGAUAAACUGGAGGAAGGUGGGGAUGACGUCAAGUCAUCAUGGCCCUUACGACCAGGGCUACACACGUGCUACAAUGGCAUAUACAAAGAGAAGCGACCUCGCGAGAGCAAGCGGACCUCAUAAAGUAUGUCGUAGUCCGGAUUGGAGUCUGCAACUCGACUCCAUGAAGUCGGAAUCGCUAGUAAUCGUAGAUCAGAAUGCUACGGUGAAUACGUUCCCGGGCCUUGUACACACCGCCCGUCACACCAUGGGAGUGGGUUGCAAAAGAAGUAGGUAGCUUAACCUUCGGGAGGGCGCUUACCACUUUGUGAUUCAUGACUGGGGUGAAGUCGUAACAAGGUAACCGUAGGGGAACCUGCGGUUGGAUCACCUCCUUA
rnacentral:rRNA from 1 species